ACGCUCGACACCUACGGGAGGCAGCAGUGGGGAAUAUUGCACAAUGGGGGAAACCCUGAUGCAGCAACGCCGCGUGAGUGAAGAAGUAUUUCGGUAUGUAAAGCUCUAUCAGCAGGGAAGAUAAUGACGGUACCUGACUAAGAAGCUCCGGCUAAAUACGUGCCCGCAGCCGCAGUAAUCUGAGCGGGCUGGCAAGGC
rnacentral:rRNA from 1 species